UGGAUCAAACCAAUGCAGGCCUGGUGAGCAGAAGAGACUGAUUUAAACAUCUUUCUGUGUGUUCAUUCUGUGUGUUUUUCUGUUUCUGCAGUGGAUCUCUGCAGCAGGCGAGACGCUGACUGUGUCUGUUUAUUACCCGUCUGGCUACAUUUGGGUCAGUCCAUACCAGGCGAUCCCGGUUCUGACACACUAUGUUAUUCCAGUGCCUCUUAAAACAACUGGAUCUGAGAGGACAACAACUCCAAGACCAUUCCUGACCACCACACAAAAACCGGCCCCACCAGGCCCUGUGACCUCUGAACUUCCCACUGUGACCCCAGCCACGCCCACUGUGAGCCCGCCAGGCCCAGUGUCUACAGCCACGCCCACUGUGAGCCCAGCAGGCCCUGUGUCUACAGCCACGCCCACUGUGAGGCCACCGGGUCCUGUAAUUACAGCCACGCCCAAUGUGACCUCUGAGCCUCCCACCACAGCAACCCGGCGAGGAGACAACUGAGGUGUCGCUAACAUUUUCAGACAAAAAUGGGAAACUUUUGUUUUGCAUGUUCGUGUACACCAUAACGAAAUGCAUAAGAAGAAAAUGCAUAAAAUAAAAGUGGAAAAAUGUUACAAAAUUCCUUUGUUUUUUUGUGUCCUUGUAAACUAAACACCUGAAAGUCUUAAUGACAUCACAUUUUAAAUAAAACAUUAAUAGAUGGACAUGGACAGAUUGUUU